rnacentral:lncRNA from 10 species
GCUAGCAAUCAGCGAGACUCCGUGGGCGUAGGACCCUCCGAGCCAGGUGCGGGAUGUAAUCUCGUGGUGCGCCGUUUUUUAAGCCCGUCGGAAAAGCGCAGUAUUCGGGUGGGAGUGACCCGAUUUUCCAGGUGCCGUCUGUCACCCCUUUCUUUGACUUGGAAAGGGAACUCCCUGACCCCUCGCGCUUCCCAGGUGAGGCAAUGCCUCGCCCUGCUUCGGCUCGUCCACGAUGCGCGCACCCACUGGCCUGCGCCCACUGUCUGGCACUCCCUAGUGAGAGAAACCCGGUACCUCAGAUGGAAAUGCAGAAAUCACCCGUCUUCUGCGUCGCUCACGCUGGGAGCUGUAGACCGGAGCUGUUCCUAUUCGGCCAUCUUGGCUCUCCCUUAGUCUAGAUUGCAGCUAAUCUUCCCCUUACAUGACACCUACAAGUUAAACAAACUGCAACUAGGAAGAUCGUGAUCAUUUGACUAGGACCUGGAUUGUUUGAGAGAGGCAGUCUAAAAAGUUUUGCUCGGUCACUCACGGCAACCUCCGCCUCCUGGGUUCAAGCAGUUCUCCUGCCUCAGUCUCCCGAGUAGCUGGGACUCUACAGGCAUCCCCCAUCAGAUGUUGUUCUGUUGGGUUUCAUUUAACCAGUCUCAACAAAUGAUACAGAAUAUUUCCUAAAGAACUUAUAAUCCAAUAAAUGACUUUUUGAUGCCUCAUGGAGAAAAUUGGCUUUGAGACCACACUUCUUCCCACUUCUUCAAUAUAAAAGAAAAACAAGUUCUUAUUAACACAAUUUUGGACACUCAAGCACAUUCUAUGGUUCUGUAUUGGUGAUGAAAACUGCCUAUGAGCGACUACCAACCUCUUUUAUGCUGCCUAUUUUUGGAGAUGUCCAAAUUUAAGAUUAAGGAUUCUGGAAAUUUGUUUCACAUAUUCUCUUUCUCUUUCUCUCAAGGUUAGGGUACCCAGUGUCUUCCAAACUAAAGUAUUGUAAUAUUACCCUGCCACCUAGGGGUAUUGCCAAAGAAAUUUAUGCAUGUAUAUAGACAUUUAGUGUAUUGGUCAAAAUGUGACAAUUAUGUUAUUAAAGUAUGUAAUUAACAGUCACAAUUGUGUUUUUGUAUUUUGUUUUCUCUUUCAUAAUAGUCUUUGUUCUUGAAACCAAAUGAGAAUGGU